UAGGCCUCCUAUUCCCCCUGCUUUGGGAGCAGGGGGUCGUGGGUUCGAAUCCCGUCGCCCCG
rnacentral:tRNA from 2 species